AGUGAACGCUGGCGGUAGGCCUAACACAUGCAAGUCGAACGGCAGCACAGUAAGUGCUUGCUCUUACGGGUGGCGAGUGGCGGACGGGUGAGGAAUACAUCCGAAUCUACUUUUUCGUGGGGGAUAAUGUAGGGAAACUUACGCUAUUACUGCAUACGACCUACGGGUGAAAGCAUCGGAUCUUCCGCCCUUGCGCGAUUGAAUGAGCCGAUGUCGGAUUAGCUAGUUGGCGGGGUAAAGGCCCACCAAGGCGACGAUCCGUAGCUGGUCUGAGAGGAUGAUCAGCCACACUGGAACUGAGACACGGUCCAGACUCCUACGGGAGGCGGCAGUGGGGAAUAUUGGACAAUGGGCGCAAGCCUGAUCCAGCCAUACCGCGUGGGUGAAGAAGGCCUUCGGGUUGUAAAGCCCUUUUGUUGGGAAAGAAAAGCAGCAGGUUAAUACCCCGCUGUUCUGACGGUACCCAAAGAAUAAGCACCGGCUAACUUCGUG
rnacentral:rRNA from 1 species